GUAGGGAAUCUUGCGCAAUGGGCGAAAGCCUGACGCAGCCAUGCCGCGUGAAUGAUGAAGGUCUUAGGAUUGUAAAAUUCUUUCACCGGGGACGAUAAUGACGGUACCCGGAGAAGAAGCUCCGGCUAACUUCGUGCCAGCAGCCGCGGUAAUACGAAGGGGGCUAGCGUUGCUCGGAAUUACUGGGCGUAAAGGGCGCGUAGGCGGAUAUUUAAGUCGGGGGUGAAAGCCCGGGGCUCAACCUCGGAAUAGCCUUCGAUACUGGAUAUCUUGAGUACGGGAGAGGUGUGUGGAACUCCGAGUGUAGAGGUGAAAUUCGUAGAUAUUCGGAAGAACACCAGUGGCGAAGGCGACACACUGGCCCGUUACUGACGCUGAGGCGCGAAAGCGUGGGGAGCAAACAGGAUUAGAUACCCCUGUAGUCC
rnacentral:rRNA from 1 species